ACCGGGUGAAAAAAGCAAAAAUAUAAGUCAGUCGCACAGAGUUGAGAAAGUUGCUGAUGAGGAGGCCAAAUUUCUAACCCGGUGCGGACCCUAUAGGUUUGCGGCUGCUGUGGGACAACUGACAGAUGAGUAGAGGGAAGUAGUUUGUGAAAUGGGACUAGACAAUCUCAUUAAACUAAAUCUUAUUUUGUAUGUUUUGAUAUCAUAAUAACAGUUUCUGUAUUGCAACGAAUGUUAUGCCUGGGUUUAGUGCUUUAGCAAACUUAUCAUUAGUCCAUGUUAAACUUGUUCUUAGCCUACAUUGCUCAUGAAUCAUGAUGGUGCAUGGGUGAAUAAACUAAUUAUAUCCUCUGGACAAUUGCUAGGUUGUGAUAUUACUGAGCUGUAACAUUAUUUAUGAUUGUUUCCUUGCUUCAAGCAUUUUCUGCUUUCAGGUUAUGAAUGAUGUGCGCACUCUGAUUAUACCCAUCUUUACUAUAUGGAAAAAUAAGGAUUUGAUGCGCUAAAUUACUGUUGAUGCAACGGUUCUUGUAAAUGUACUUGAAUGAUCAAAUUUCUUUUGCCUUCUGUGCUGCUGCAGUGACCUCAAAGCGGGUUAUUCUGGAGAGCUUUUCCUCUAAUAUUUGGAUAAUCAUUUGCGACACUACACCAUUAUCUCCAAUAUUCGAGUGGUCAUUCACAAGAGGAUUUUCCAUUGUUUACAGAUGGUUCUUCAUUACACUAAGUUUGGAGAAAGAAAUGAGAUAAAAAAAAAUGUAAAGAGUAAAAGGGAUAAAGAAAGAGAGAAGAAUAACAACAGUAAACUGAAAAUUUAUUAUUAUACCAGUAAAUUACUUGACAACAAUUAUCAGGAUUGAGUAACAGAGCAAACAAAAACCCCUAAAGAAACUGGGGAUAUGGCGAUGUAAUAAAAAGAAAAAGACAAAAAAGAAUGAGAUAAGUCAACAUGAAGGUGCCGACAAUAGAAAGAUGCACCAUUCUAAAUAGCUUAACAUCAGAUACGUGUUAAACAAUGGAGAUGCUAAUCAAUCUUUUCUUUUAGCCCACAUGUCAAAAAUGCCUUAUUAAAAUAAAGAAUCUUAAUUGUGAAUCUGUCACUUGCUACCUCAGCCUGUGACUGCAAGUUUCCUUCUCCACUGAUGCUCCGGUACUUUAUAAUUUACAACUCCAUGGAAGAGGAAUGGAUCAAGCACACAAUUCUCACUUUUGUAAAUACCUGCUUGGAUGCUUGCCAUUAAUUCUGUAACCUACCUUCCAAAAAAUCCUCUAGUUUUUAUAGCUGCUUCCAUUAACAUAUCAUCAGUGAAGCCCUUAAUCUCUAUCUUUUGUUGUUGACCUUUGAACAAUUUGUGAACCAAACCAACUUUUUUUGUUCUCGCUUCAAUGAUAUACUUGUCCAAAAAGAGCUUUAGGAGCUUAAAGCAUUCCUCUUCGUCGGGCAAAGGGAAUUUCCAGGACUUCAAUAAUAUGGUGUGCCAUUGCUGAAUCAAGAUCACCACAACGAUUAGUGUUGAGCUUCACUCGUGUACCUUUGGAAUAAAAUAGACACCAUUUAAAGUCACAUCAACAUAUCCUCAACUUCAACAGGCAAAUCCCACACAUGUAUGAAACAGUACAUGUGCAAAUCUUCAAGUAAGAAUUUUAUUUACUUAGUGUUGUGUAAAUCCCUGCUGCAAGAGCAGUCGCUCUCCCAACAGCAGCAACCAGCUUAUUUUGGUCGGUUAAUAUGGCUUAUAAACCCCCUGCACAAGACAGAUACAUACAAAGCAACAAGUUUGAAUGUAAUAACAUUUGAACAGGUGACAUCAUAACAACAUUAAGCAUAGUAUUUAAUACAUGUUCUCGUUAAGCUAAACUAUUGGAAUAUCCUUUCUGGCAAAAGAAUGGUAUCUAAUAGUGGAAGUGCAACUGAUAGCAUAUAUAAUUAUGUUUAGAGAAGCGGCAGGUAGUGGAUGUGGGUUGUUCAAACAACAAGGUACCUAAGGAAUUAUUUGGAACCUUGUCUACUAAGAAAUCGCAUUAUCAAACUAAAAUCAACUAGGAGAUAUUAUUAUAAUACCAUCAAAGCAUUAGUUGUAAACAGUUCAACUAUUUAAGCUUUUUUCAAUUACAUUGAAUUAAAUUGAAUUUAUACCCCUAGUAUGGUCAAAGGCAGUGUUUAUGGCAGCAAUCCAUUUUCCUCUUUCUGCAUUUGCACGAUCCAUUUGCAUUCUCCAUUACACAUCUUCAGUAAGCUUUGCUUAAUGUGCUCUCCCUUCUGCUUUUGCCAUUGCUCUCACCCUGAUUGGUUCACAUUCUAUCUCAGCCUUCCCCCUCUCUAUCUUCGCUUUUGUGCUUUAAUCUGUUCUUCGGUAACUCAUCAACCUUGCUCCUGCCUUAUGAUGACUCUUCUUGCAUUUUUCAACCUCUUGGUUUCUCGCUUUGUGAUAAUUCAUUUUCAGCCUGUAACAAGUGCUAGUCAUAUUCAUAAACAUGCCUGUAACAAAAAUUACUAAGCCAACCCAAAAACAAAAACGAAAACUUUGCAAAUUACUUCUUUCUCCAAACUGAAAUAUUAGCAUCCAGUUAAAAUAAAAGAUUAUAUUCCUCUAGGCCACAACAAGGAGGAAUAUAUUCUUUAAAAACGUCGAACAAGAAUAAUGAACGCAGCUCAAAAGUUAGCAUCUCAUGGCCUUAUAUUCAGCAGCAUUUGCAGCUAGUUGUGCUUGUUUGGUCUCUUCUUGCUUCUUCAUAAAUUGAAAAGCCUACAAGAAUCUAUAUAUGCGUGUGUAAAUCACCAAAAUAGAGACAGGGAUUUAUAAUUCGGAAAAAAAUAAAAACUCAAAAUGGAAACCUUUUAGGCAUUACGAGAUGCGCUGAUCUCCUUCAAAAUCUUGGCAACUUGGUCAAAGGGUUCCAGGUGGAAGCCGACAGAGGUCGUUCUGGGAUGGUCAAUUCCAACCGCCUGCAGAUCAUUAAGGCAAAUCGGACGGUUGAGAUUGCCCAUAUUGAGAAGAAGUACCAAAAUAGAAAGGGGAGAAGUUCGUAGGGCUAUCAGCAAAUUGAAACCUUUAAUUAAUUCAUACGUAUACUGGCUACUUUAUUCACGAACUUAUUUUAUCUUUGUCGCAUUCAUUAUAUGUGAAUUUUAUUCCAACGGAAAUUGGCAUGUAACGUUGACUUCCACCUAACUGGUUCUUCCAUUUAAGAAUGUAUUAAUUGUUUUCAACCAGUUACUUAUAACUGCGUACCAUAUAAUUGUAGAACUUUUGGUGACCGGCUCUUAACUUGUUUAUUAGGUUACUCUCACUUGCCUAUGUGUUCAAUCGCCAUCCAUUAUAUAAUAUCGAACGGUCAGUUUGGUAAAGACAAAAUUGGGGGAUUUGGAAUCACUGAUGCAAAGUAGCCGGCUCCUGUACGGCUGUGUUUGGUAGAACUGUAUUCUCAUUCAAUAAAAUAAUCUACGAAGAACUUGAUAACUACCCAAAGAAUAAUUCAGUUCAUUCGUUACCUGAGAUGAAAAAAAAUCUAUAUACCGAGAAAAUUACUUAACUGGGGUAAGUAUUCCAACAAACGAAUCAGACAUUAAAGCACCGAAAAGUAUAAUAUCGCUAAGAAAAUGCUCCAAAACUAUGUAAAACAGGUGUCCAUGAUAAGCUUUAUAAAGGUUUCUAAAGGACUAAACUUGGGUGCACUUCAAAAACCACAGAGAUGUGGUAAUGCUGGAGACUAGCUAAUACAAUUUGACAAAAGUACAUUUGCCAGGAGGAUACAUGAGAAGGCCAAGAACCUAUGUAAAGGCUAGGUAGGCCAAGUAUGACACAAAAAAUAGAGAUAAAACUAGAAGGCAAAUUCCAGAGUGCCACAUGACAGAGCAGGAAAUUGACUAGUGACCUCGGGUCAUCUUCAUCUUCGGCACAGCUUUCUUCAUCUGACGAGCACGCUCUUUCGCUUCCUUCUUGCGAAUAGCCUCUGCAGAUAGCUUUGCAUCUGCCUCCUCAAUCAUCUUCUUCCUAUCUGCCUUCUUUCUCUGCAAGGCUUCCUGCCUAGCAUUUUGAAGUUCUUUGUAUGCCUCUUGGGCUGCCUUCUGUCUGGCUGCCUCUGUUUUAGAUCGAGCCUGCAAUUCAGUAGUUGAUUCAGUGUUAAUAAUGUGACUAAACAUGGCAUAUUAGUCAAAUUAAGAAAAAAGGUAUUAUAAGUUAACAGACCUGUGGACUGAGCUUGUAACGUCCGAUCAAAUCAAUGUAAUAGGGUACAAGAGCAACCAAUCGAGUCAUAUCAGCCAUGUUGUUGGCAUCAGGUAGGGCAAACUUAAACAACAGCAUCUUCCUAUGUGUGCCAGGGUGUUGAUCAGAAAAAUGCAUUGAUAUGAAAUCCUUUCCAUGUUUUUCAAAAGCUUUUUCGCCGAACACCUGCAAAAUACCAAUUGCAAAAUUUAUAUAUGCAGACUAUUCAAGAAGACAUACUGCCACAUGACCUAAUAAGCAUAAAGCAAUAAUAAACAAUCUGAGAAUGAGUCAUAAAUGAAACAGAAAAUAAUGUACAAGCAACUGGCUCGUGCACUUAUAAAAUAGAAACAUUAAGCAUCUUUUUUGUUUUUUUGGGGGGGGGCAGCAGCGGCUCAGAAACAAAAUAAGUAUAUUACAUGUAGGAAAUGAACAUACGGACAAGAAGUCCAUGAAGACAAAAGACAAAAUCCCCAACCUCAAGAACUGUAAAUCCAAUAAGAUCAAAAAUUCCAACAAAUGAAGUUACACCAUAGCUGCUUUCCAACUAAUUAAAAAAAAAAAAACAAAUCUUUAACCUUUGGAAAGAUAGAAGCCCACAGAGAAGGCCAGAUUUUAACAGUGUCCCAAAGAAACCUGUAAUUCUCCGUCACUUUGUUUUAAAAAUUCUUAAGUUUCUUAUGUAGGUUCGAAAAAGAACUAGGAUUGGGAUUUAAGAACUUACCACCGGGUGAAAAAAGCAAAAAUAUAAGUCAGUCGCACAGAGUUGAGAAAGUUGCUGAUGAGGAGGCCAAAUUUCUAACCCGGUGCGGACCCUAUAGAUUUGCGGCUGCUGUGGGACAACUAACAGAUGAGUAGAGGGAAGUAGUUUGUGAAAUGGGACUAGACAAUCUCAUUAAGCUAAAUCUUAUUUUGUAUGUUUUGAUAUCAUAAUAACAGUUUCUGUAUUGCAACGAAUGUUAUGCCUGGGUUUAGUGCUUUAGCAAACUUAUCAUUAGUCCAUGUUAAACUUGUUCUUAGCCUACAUUGCUCAUGAAUCAUGAUGGUGCAUGGGUGAAUAAACUAAUUAUAUCCUCUGGACAAUUGCUAGGUUGUGAUAUUACUGAGCUAUAACAUUAUUUAUGAUUGUUUCCUUGCUUCAAGCAUUUUCUGCUUUCAGGUUAUGAAUGAUGUGCGCACUCUGAUUAUUCCCAUCUUUACUAGAUGGAAAAAUAAGGAUUUGAUGCGCUAAAUUACUGUUGAUGUAACAAUUCUUGUAAAUGUACUUGAAUGAUCAAAUUUCUUGGAAAGAUAGAAGCCCACAGAGAAGGCCAGAUUUUAACAGUGUCCCAAAGAAACCUGUAAUUCUCCAUCACUUUGUUUUAAAAAUUCUUAAGUUUCUUUCAAUCCAUAGGACCCAAAAUAUAGCCAUAACUUUGCAAUCCCAUAAGUCAGAAGCCUUCCCCCUACCUUUAACCAUCAGAUUUUUUUUUUCCCCAAGAGAACAGAAAAGCUUGUUGCAGGUGCUGCCCAGCUCAAUUUAAAAGUCCUAACCAGCUUGGACCAUAAGAACACAGCACUAUAUCACUUUUUUAAUUCUAUCAGCUCUACGUAAACUCAGUCUUGAAUGGAUAAAUUAACGAAAAAUAUAUAAAACAACCUCAAGGAUUCUGGUUUCAUUGGAAAAUUAUCAAACCAAAAGAGAGCAAUUUACGAAAUAAAGCCAGAGCCACAAGUUU
rnacentral:lncRNA from 1 species